rnacentral:rRNA from 1 species
GAUGAACGCUGGCGGCGUGCCUAAUACAUGCAAGUCGAGCGAACAGACGAGGAGCUUGCUCCUCUGACGUUAGCGGCGGACGGGUGAGUAACACGUGGAUAACCUACCUAUAAGACUGGGAUAACUUCGGGAAACCGGAGCUAAGACCGGAUAAUAUAUUGAACCGCAUGGUUCAAUAGUUAAAGACGGUUUUGCUGUCACUUAUAGAUGGAUCCGCGCCGCAUUAGCUAGUUGGUAAGGUAACGGCUUACCAAGGCAACGAUGCGUAGCCGGCCUGAGAGGGUGAUCGGCCACACUGGAACUGAGACACGGUCCAGACUCCUACGGGAGGCAGCAGUAGGGAAUCUUCCGCAAUGGGCGAAAGCUUGACGGAGCAACGCCGCGUGAGUGAUGAAGGUCUUCGGAUCGUAAAACUCUGUUAUUAGGGAAGAACAAAUGUGUAAGUCACUAUGCACGUCUUGACGGUACCUAAUCAGAAAGCCACGGCUAACUACGU